rnacentral:lncRNA from 1 species
CGCACACAACCAAGCUUAGGAGCCAAGUGUUAAGAUGCCUAAGUGACACGGACAAGUUUGUCCUCUGCGACCCAGUGAGAUCUGCUCACCACAAGAGCAUCGCGGGACCGCCAAAGGAUUCUGGGAAAUGUGGUCCCGGAUGGCCAGUGUGUGCUGACCUUCACCUGAAGGUGCAGCUUGAAGGAAACUUCUGGAGGGUGGGCUGGUGUUGAAGAGAAGGCACAAUUAUAACCAUUUUGUUCAACAUGGGCGUUUUCUUUAUGCAUUGAUUUGCAUUUUAAAGGUAUUACAUUAAAAAUAUGUUUAUCUUGAUUAG